rnacentral:lncRNA from 1 species
UUUUAGAAUGAAGUGUCUAUGUUGAAAAAUGAGGUGGCCCAGCUGAAACAGUUGUUGUUAACACAUAAAGACUGCCCAAUAACAGCCAUGCAGAAAGAAUCACAAGGAUAUCUAAGUCCAGAGAGUAGCCCUCCUGCUAGUCCUGUCCCAGCUUGCUCCCAGCAACAAGUCAUCCAGCAUAAUACCAUCACUACUUCCUCAUCGGUCAGCGAGGUGGUAGGAAGCUCCACCCUCAGCCAGCUCACCACUCACAGAACAGACCUGAAUCCGAUUCUUUAAAAUGCACCAUCAGACCUGGCCUCCAAGAAGAGCUGUAGCGUACCAUGCGUCCUUUCUUUUAAGGGCAUUUUUAGAAUUAACUCAGACCUGGAAGACUCCUCAGUUCUUCAAAGACUGGCUUUCAUUUUUAUAGUUACUAUGGAAAUGUUGUCUUUUAUACUUAGUUAUAUAAGAAAAAAGGGAGUUAUGCAAUUAAUAUCUAUCAGCUUGGGAAACGCUUUGGUGCUUUUCUCCAAUUUUCUGGUACCAGUUACUUGUUUAUAAACUGAACCUUUUCUGUAUAUAGCCAUGGUUUCAUUCUUAUCAGUCCAACCCUUUGCCUGAAACAUUGAAUCUUGUUAAACCACAGCUUUUAGCCAAAAUGAGGUAUACCUAGAUGUCAAGUAAGACAGAUCCAAGGUAACUGGGUAGGAAAUCUUUUGACAUCUUAACUCAUGUUGAGUUUGUGCUGUGGUGUCACCAGAAUUCCAGAUAAACACACAGCCUUUCCCAUACCUUUUUUUUCCUUACUAUAAAAUAUUAUAAGAUCCAUUGAUGUCCAAAUAAUACCACCGAGCAUCUCUUCACCUCUCCUCCUCUUGGUCCACUUGCUAAUGCCCAGUUUUCUUCUCCAUUUCCACUUUUUCUUAGGCUCCCUAUUUACUAUUCAUUUUGACUUCCUUCUGUUUUA